GAUGAACGCUGGCGGCGUGCCUAACACAUGCAAGUCGAGCGAAAAGACGAGGAGCUUGCGCCUUUGACGUUAGCGGCGGACGGGUGAGUAACACGUAGGUAACCUACUUAUAAGACUGGGAGAAUUUCGGGAAACCGGAGCUAAUACCGGAUAAUAUUUCGAACCGCAUGGUUCGAUAGUGAAAGAUGGCUUUGCUAUCACUUAUAGAUGGACCUGCGCCGUAUUAGCUAGUUGGUAAGGUAACGGCUUACCAAGGCAACGAUCCGUAGCCGACCUGAGAGGGUGAUCGGCCACACUGGAACUGAGACACGGUCCAGACUCCUACGGGAGGCAGCAGUAGGGAAUCUUCCGCAAUGGGCGAAAGCCUGACGGAGCAACGCCGCGUGAGUGAUGAAGGUCUUCGGAUCGUAAAACUCUGUUAUUAGGGAAGAACAAAAGUGUAAGUAACUGUGCACGUCUUGACGGUACCUAAUCAGAAAGCCACGGCUAACUACGUG
rnacentral:rRNA from 1 species